rnacentral:rRNA from 1 species
AAGCUCGUAGUUGAAUUUCGGGGUUAGUAGGUUGGUCAUGCCUCUGGUAUGUACUGGUCUCACUGAUUCCUCCUUCCUGAUGAGCCGUAAUGCCAUUAAUUUGGUGUUGCGAGGAAUCUGGACUGUUACUUUGAAAAAAUUAGAGUGUUUAAAGCAGGCUAACGCUUGAAUACAUUAGCAUGGAAUAAUGAAAUAGGACGUUCGAUCCUAUUUUGUUGGUUUCUAGGAUUGACGUAAUGAUUAAUAGGGAUAGUUGGG